UUUAUCCAUUAGCUGGUGUAGCAGCUAAUGGGAGGCCUGGACUGCAUACGGCGCUUCCCCAACGCCCACUUCCAUCGCCUUUUAUGUCCCCUGGCCUCUCCACCUCCUCCGUCUUCAUCACCGCCGGCAAAAACCCUCCUCCUAUUCUCUCCCACAUCAAACACCCAAACUAGAACAAUCAACACCAAAAAUGCCAGUGCUGGGUAUAAGAAGAAGGGGAAGAUGAAGAUGGCAGAGAUCUGACUCUCAGACCUCCUUUCUCCCUCCCUCAAAACCAACAAACCCAGCAACAAAAACAAAAAAACGAUGACGAUGACAAAGCAGAAGAACAAGAAGAAGGGGAAGAUGAAAACAGAGCACAAGGCCGUGGAUAGUGCUGUCGUCGAGCUUGGUGGGUCUGCUCACCGGAAUCGGCGUCGUCCUCUUCAACUACUCUGUAUGUUUGAUUUUUAACCAUUACUUAAUUGUCCAUUUUUGCUUUUCUUGCUUGCUUGUUUGCAAAGUUUUGAUCUUUUAUCUGAAAUUUUACACAAAUUGUAAAUGUUCAUGGGAUACAUUAGCAUUGUAGUCUGCUAGUGAUCUUUACAUGUUUUUGUUAUUCAUUGUGAGGAUGUUUUAAAGAAUUGUCUCACAUAGGAAUGUGUGUUGUCCAUCUGUUUGGCUUGAGUGCUGCAACAUGUGACAGGGCACGUGAGGAUAUGAAAAACUGUCCCAGGUCGGAAAGUCAAGGAACCUUGCAGAGACCAGGAGGCGGGCUACUCCCCCAUUUCGAAUUUGGGGUGGAACCUCAACUUCGGUCACUCAUUGCCUAUUUUUGCUUUGCUUUUUUCUUGCUUGCUUAUACAUAAAGUUUUGAGCUUUUUCUGAGAUUUUGAUAUGAAUGGGAAGGUUCAUGAGAUGCAUGACGUGUUCUGGGGUGGGAUGCCGCAAAGGGGAGCUUCGUGGCCGAGGGAGGAGUUUAUGGGAGAUACGUGGAAGCACGUGAUUCUGGUUCCAGCUUCUGGGAGGGUUUGAUCGUUGCCAUAUUAAACUUGCUUCGAGAUGCUUUCUGAGGAUGGUUCACAAGAUAACAAUGGCAAUGAGCAAGGAGGAGAUAAAGGAGAGAAUUUAUUAGUGAAAAUGGGAAUGCCUGUUUCGGUUUUUUAUGGUCUCAAGGCUGCAUCAUGUCCUUUUUUCAAGGCAAUUGCUGCUUGAUCAGGUUGAGAUCGGAACUGGGAACUCGUUAGCUCCUGAAGGUCCUAGCGUUGAGAUUGGAACUUCUGUAGCCAAGGGCAUUGGUGCUGUGUUUGAUAAAAGUUCAUAAAGCAGGCUCUCUCUUGUGGCUGCCUGAUCAGCUGCUGGAUUUGCUUCUGGGUUUAAUGCUGCUGUUUGUGAUACCUUCUGUAGUUUCAGAAGUUGGUCUUGGUUCUGAAGCAGCCUUUAAGGUCCCAUACUAUGACUUCCAUAGUUCCAUUCACCAACUGGUACACUAUCAGUUAUCUGUCAAUUCUUCAAAAUGAUACACAUAAUCUCUGAGUAUUUACUUGUUCGUGGUAAUGUGAUUUGCCUUUACUGAAUAUGGUUUCUGAAUUUUCCCAUUAUUUGGGUAGUUGGAUUUACAUUGCAUAUUCCAAAUGGGUAUUUUUUCAGGCAUACCUUUAGUAUAUCUAGAGGUUGAUGUUCAAGUUAUUGUUUAAAGCUGCGGUUUUAAUAAUGAGACGUAUUCAAAUCAUUUUCAGAGCCUCCGCUAUAUCUAUUGCACAUAGUAUAUGUUGGUAUUUGUUGACAAUCUUCACAAGACCGUUGGCCUACCAAAAUUUUUGUUCCCUAUCGUGGGUGGCUUGGCUAUCGGGCUGAUGGCAUUGGUACAUCCUGAAAUUCUUUAUCGGGGUUUUGAGAAUGUUAACAUUUUUCUGGAAUCUCGACCACUUGAGAAAGGCCUCCCAGCUGAUCUGUUUCUUCAGUUGGUAGUGGUCAAGAUAGCUGAUAUGUUUCUGCAGCAACAGGAAUGGCAUACAGCAAAAACAUCGGUUCUGCAGUUGCUCAGUCCAAUCCUAUACUUCAUCUUUCUGUCUUUGGAAGUAGCAUCACCGCAAGCAUACGGCCUGGAAAUGUUUUUUUUCCUAUAUGCAUUCUGGUUAUUAUCAGAAGUAAGUUGUUUCCUUUUGUGAUCGCCUCAUUUUCACUAUUUAAUUAGUCCCUGAAACUUGUUGUAUUACUUGAUGUGCAUGGAAAGAUCUAUUAAAUAAAACAUUAGGGAUCUCUUGGCCAAAACCACAAAACCGGCCUAAUAAUUGAUGUAAUUAGUAAACAUCGACACAUAAUGUAAUGCAUUCUUAAUUGGAGCUA